GGGGUGACCAGUCCCAGGAGAGCAGCUAUCUCACAAGGAAGCAGCUCCUCUGAGAGCCUCUGCAGUAGAGCAUGAUGGAGAUGUUCUCAGAGGAGGCAAACCCCAACUCCCCUCCUGCCAUGGAGCAGCCAGGCCUGUGCAUGAGGCCCCAGGUGCUGACCGAAGGGGAAAUCAGUCAAGACCUAGAACUGUCCCAGGACGGAGAUGACAGCGACAAAGAGGAGUUGCAGGAUGACGGGGAAUUCAUCACCAUCCACACCAUUGGGGUCAACCCCAGGUAACCACAGCUCCUGCAGGAUCCCAACGUUGCUCCCCAGGACUCGGCCAAGGCAGCAGCUUGUCCGGCCUUGGCCGAGCAGGUGAAGGCAGCCAGGGCACAGAUCCAGGGCCCUGCCCCACAGAGUCCCUGCUUCCCCCCAGGCCCCUCAGCUCCCCAGCUGGGAGCCCUCGGGGAGCUGCCAGCUCCCCCUAAGAAAUGCCCAUCCCGCUUCAGGCGGGCGCUGCAGGCGCUGUUCUGCUCCCUGAGGCCACAGCUGGAUGAGGAACGCCCGCUGCCCGCGCCAGGCUGGGCCCCACCGAUGGCCUGCCCAGCAUCCUGAGCAAGCCACAAGGGCUGCCUUCACCUGGAUGUGUCCCUCCAGGCUGAGCAGGACUGCAACAAAAACCACUCUCCCAUCACUAUGAAAGUUGGGUUUAGGAAACAGUAGUAGUAAGAAAGAAAAAUUAAAAAAAAAAAAAUUAAAAAUCCCCCCAAAAAACAAACAAAAAAAACCAACCAAACAAAAAGAAUAGGAAUAAGAAUAAGAAGAUGAUAAAGAAAUAGUAGUAGUACAUUAUAAUAAGAAGAAAUAGAAUAAAAAUAAAAAUAGUAAGUUGAAUAAGAGUAAGAAGAAUAAGAAGAUGAAGAAAUUGUAGUAGUAGUAGUAGUAGUAAAUAAAGAAAAAAAAAGAAGAAGAAGAUCAAGAGGAAGAAAUAAUAGUGGUAAAUAAUAAUCAGAAGAAUAAGAAAAAGAAUAAGAAUAAUAAGUUGAAUAAGAAUUAGAAGAAGAGAUAAGAGUAGAAAUAAAUAAUAAAUAGAAUAGGAAAAACAAUAAGAGUAAGAAAAAUAAGAAUGACUAAGAUGAAGAAAAAGGAGUAGGAGUAGUAGUAGUAAAGAAGAAGACUAAGGUGAAGAAGAUGGAAUAGUAGUAGUCAUAAAUAAUAAUAUCAAAUUAAAAACACAUCCACACAUCUUCUAGAAUCACAGAAUGAAUGGAAGGACCCUAAAGUCAUCUAGUUUCAACUGAUUAUCUUCUGCUCUCUCUCUCUCUCUCUCUCUCUGAGACCUCUUUCCUAUUUAUUUCUCUCUCUUUACCUCCCCUUUCCUGUUAAAUAAAAUCCAGGUUAAAUGAAAUCCA